GACGAACGCUGGCGGCGUGCUUAACACAUGCAAGUCGAACGGAAAGGCCCUGCUUUUGUGGGGUGCUCGAUUGGCGAACGGGUGAGUAACACGUGAGUAACCUGCCCUUGACUUUGGGAUAACUUCAGGAAACUGGGGCUAAUACCGGAUAGGAGCUCCUGCUGCAUGGUGGGGGUUGGAAAGUUUCGGCGGUUGGGGCUGGACUCGCGGCUUAUCAGCUUGCUGGUUGGGUAGUGGCUUACCAAGGCUGUGACGGGUCGCCGGCCUGAGAGGGUGACCGGCGACAUUGGGACUGCGGUACGGCCCAGACUGGUACGGUAGGCAGUAGGGGGGAAUAUUGCACAAUGGGCGGACGCCUGAUGCAGAAACGCCGCGGGCGGGAUGACGGCUUUCGGGUUGUGAACCGCUUUCGCCUGUGACGAAGCGUGAGUGACGGUAAUGGGUAAAGAAGCACCGGCUAACUACGUG
rnacentral:rRNA from 1 species